rnacentral:rRNA from 1 species
UACGAAGGGGCUAGCGUUGCUCGGAAUCAACUGGGCGUAAAGGGCGCGUAGGCGGCGUUUUAAGUCGGGGUGAAAGCCUGUGGCUCAACCACAGAAUGGCCUUCGAUACUGGGACGAGCUUGAGUAUGGUAGAGGUUGGUGGAACUGCGAGUGUAGAGGUGAAAUUCGUAGAUAUUCGCAAGAACACCGGGUGGCGAAGGCGGCCAACUGGACCAUUACUGACGCUGAGCGACGAAAGCGU